ACCAGGCACAAUAUCCAGACCUCCCUUAAUCAUAGCCUGAUUUCUGCCAAUUGCAUUCUCUCCCUUGACUCACUUACCUUUGAGCAGGUGAUACAGAAAUGGGGAAAAAAAAUCUCUGGAGUGCAUGGACUCCAGUAGUGGAACCCAGUAAAUAAGGUCAAGUGCUUUUUGCUCCCUUGGUUCCUAUGCUGGUUUCUAUAAACUUUUCCCUAAUUCUUUGCAAACCUUGUUCAAUAACCUCCCAUUUAAUUCCUGAAUUCUCUGGUUUCUUCAAAAAAAUUCCUUGCUUAAACCAGCUAAUUUGGGUUUUCUGUUAAAAACCAGUAGCAUCUGUUAAACGGAUUAAAUGAAUAAGCCAUUUAAAGAGAUUAUCUCAAUGCCUAUUACAGUAUAAAUGAUCAGUAAAUAUUAACAUUUAUUAUUAUCUGCUCUUGUUAAUCCCUUAGUAUAUGGUGGCAUAUUUCCUUUAUGUUAUAUACAUUAAUCUUCACAUAAAGUUUUUUAAAGAAAAAGAAGUCAGAGAGAUGAGGCAACAUGCAUAAAGUUUCACAGGUCCUAUGUACAGCUGUUCACUUCAUUUUCACGUCUCCUCAAAUGCUGUCUGUCAUAGGAGCCUCACAGACUGUACUGUCUAGUAGAGGCUGGUUUCCUUACCAGGCAUUCUUCCCUACCAUCUUCCAUCCUCCUCCGCAGAUGUAUCACCCACCAGCUAUAAUUAUGUUGUCUGUGGGAUUAUUCCAUACAUACUGUUCAUUUCCGUCCCUAGAUGGUAAGUUUGCAGAGUCUUGCUCUGUUAUAUCUCCAGCACUUAGAAUGGUGCUUGGUAAAUGGUUAAUGCUUGGUAAGUAUUUGUUGAAUAAAUGAAUGAAUAACUGAUGAGUGGAGGUUUGUUUAAGUCCAAAGUCUAGGCAUCUUUCUGCUAAAUGUGGACAAUGCAGACACUAAUAUGAUGCAACUCCACACUUUCAUGAGCUCCCAGAGAAAGGGAUAAGACAGAAGCCGAACCUCACACUACCAGAAAGGAACAUACACCAGCCUUGGAAAACAGUUCGUAUUUCAGAAAAUUAGAGAUCAAUUCUGGAUCCAGGGAUCAUAGCUUCUGAGAAAGAGAUUUCAAGGAGGGGAAGUUGGAAGAAGACGGAAAUGUCUGCAGACCAAUGGAUGAAGUAACAGCAAGAGAAAGCUGGCUCUUAUCCCAGAAAGUCACCUGACCUGAGGAAACCACAGUAAAGGUUCCUGCCCAGGCCUUCCUCUCACUCCUGUCUACUGACAGAAGGACGCAUGUGGCCCUGCCUGGUGUGGGGCCUCCUCCUGCUGGGAACUAACUCUACAAUGAACAUUUUCCUACGUGAGUGUCAUCAGCGGAGUGAUCCAGCCAUCAGCAAGAGGGAGAUGUGAUCUCAACGCAUCCUUCCCUGAUCUUCGGCCAUUCCCUACUCACCCUUUUCUUCAGCUAAAGGCAGCUCCCCACAUCCCUCUCCAAAGCUGAAUGUUCUCUAAUGGUCUUACUGACAACCUGAGAUCAAGUUAAUAUGGAAUAGACGUUCAUUUGAUCUGAGAAGCAAAGAAAUUGGUCCUGAAAUGGUU